rnacentral:rRNA from 1 species
AACGAACGCUGGCGGCAUGCCUAACACAUGCAAGUCGAACGAGACCUUCGGGUCUAGUGGCGCACGGGUGCGUAACGCGUGGGAACCUGCCCUUAGGUUCGGAAUAACUCCCCGAAAGGGGUGCUAAUACCGGAUAAUGUCUUCGGACCAAAGAUUUAUCGCCUUUGGAUGGGCCCGCGUUGGAUUAGCUAGUUGGUAGGGUAAAAGCCUACCAAGGCGACGAUCCAUAGCUGGUCUGAGAGGAUGAUCAGCCACACUGGGACUGAGACACGGCCCAGACUCCUACGGGAGGCAGCAGUGGGGAAUAUUGGACAAUGGGCGAAAGCCUGAUGCAGCAAGGACGCGUGAGUGAUGAAGGCCUUAGGGUUGUAAAGCUCUUUUACCCGGGAUGAUAAUGACAGUACCGGGAGAAUAAGCUCCGGCUAACUCCGUG